GACAGAGGGUGCAAACGUUGCUCGGAAUCACUGGGCGUAAAGGGCGCGUAGGCGGAUCGGGAAGUCGGGUGUGAAAUCCCUGGGCUCAACCUAGGAACUGCAUUCGAAACUCCCGGUCUAGAGUGACGGAGAGGAAAGCGGAAUUCCCGGUGUAGAGGUGAAAUUCGUAGAUAUCGGGAGGAACACCAGAGGCGAAGGCGGCUUUCUGGACGUUGACUGACGCUGAGGCGCGAAAGCGUGGGGAGCAAAC
rnacentral:rRNA from 1 species